GCGUGAUGACAAUCCUGGGCUUGUAGAGGGGCUGCAAAGAAGGCCUGCUCCUGUUUUCUGGAAGAGACUAGAUGAUUUGUACAGCCCUUUUCUUACAGAGGCGGUCUGGCCUUCCACGGAGCGGAACAGCUGCUCAUCCUCUGCUGGGGAGACACAUCCUCUAGGAACUGGAAACCCAAUGUGAGGACCAUCCAGCCCUCAUGUAUGACGCUGUGCCAGUCAGAGGCGGUCGUCUCUAGCCACAGUGAAGGUUCUGGAAGAGCUGGGACCCCUCAGAAGACAAUGUGGGAGUCAGUGAGUAGAAGGAAAUGGAGUCACAGAGAACCAGAGCAAUCUGCCUACCUCAUAUAGCGAGGACCCGUCUCCAGGAUGCCCCCUAAGCCUUACCGAAGGGAAAGGAAGCCCUGGAGUGACACAGCAUAGCCAUGGCCAGCUUUGGGGACUACAGGUCACACACAUGAAGACAGGGUUGGCGAGGGAGCGAGCCUAGACACUCCCGUCUUGGUUCUGUGAUGCCAAGAGGCCUCAGAAGCUGCCACCCUGGAGGAGACCAUGGCUUUGCUGUGUGAACUCGACAGCUCCCUCACCCCCUCUGAGCUCCUCAUUUCAUUUCCUGUCUUGUUCACCAGAGAACAAUGAUGGGGCUCUACUCUGGGCUGGACACUGGGGGUCCUAUGAUGAUGAAGUGAAGUAAUGGAGUGCCUGCCUUCAUUGAUAUUUGGGCCACCGAACCACUGCUCACAUCCCAAGUGCUCAGAAGCCAUACAUGACUCUGGUGCCGCUUUCGAGAGCACAGACAGAAAGAGGGGAAACUUCGACCCCAUCUCCAGUCAGCACCGUCCACUCAUGGACAUGGAUCUAAAACGAAGGCUAAAGAAAACAAACUAAGAAAGCUCCAAAUUUUGGAAAGAAUUAUUUGCCUGAUGAAACCAAUAGGAGGAACUGACGAAAAGCCCAGCUGGGUUUCUGGGUCAAAUGACUGAAGACAGCACGCCUUGCCAUGCGGAGAAAACUGGAAUGACCCCUGUCCACACCCUUCAAAGGGCGGACUCGAGAUCUAAGUGUGAAGGAAAAGCAAAUAGAACAACACACAGCAGAUGAAUUUGUAACCCAGGGUGGACAACUCAUUUCAAAAGCCAAAGUCACAAGGCAGAGGAACUUGAUCACAUCACAGCACGCUGGGGACUGUCUGUGCUUCUCGGUCAGAGGGCACAGGUAUUUGGCCCACACAAGGCUUCCUGGGGCACAUAGGAUGAUGCUCACUUUGUCAUCUAAGGAGGGAGUGGCUCCCUCUGGGAUGGGCGGAGCACUGUGUAAAGAGAAGCCGAGGGACCAGGCAACGUGGGCUGAAACCCAGCACUGAGCAGAAGGAGAGCACAGGAGGGGGGAGAGGAGGAGGGAGCACGAGAGUGCAAAGCACCAUCCACGCAAGUGCAAAACACACGCUGUGCAGGAACACGCACAGUGGAAGGCAGAGCCCUGCAUUGAGGGAGUCCUCAUCAUGGGCGCAUAGAUGCCCGCAACUGCCGAGGCGCUGAGCUCGCUGUGCGGCUUCCUCCACUGCAGGCCUGGGAGUAGGUAUAGCCUAUAAACCAGGCACAGCAAGAGGUCAAGAGCGAUGGUUUGCAUCACACGUAGUUACUACUAAGCCCUGUGUGUCUGCUGCUGUGAUAAAGAGCAUGGCCAAAGGCAAGCUGGGGAUAAGAGGGCUUUUCAUCUUACAAGUGUCACUGAUGGAAGUCAGGGCAGGAACUGAAGCAGAGGCCUUGGAGGAUGCUGCUUACUGGCUUAUCCCCCCCUGGCUUGCUCAGCCUGCUUUUUUAUACACCCCAGGAUCACCUGCCUAGGUGUGGCACCACCCAUAGAGCCGGACCCUCCCAUAUCAAUCGUUAAUCAAGAAAAUGCCGCUAGCUUGUUUUAGCUGACAUCAAACUACCCAACAUCAGCCGAUGAAGACGGCUGUGGAGUGACUAGUGGGUGGGUGGCAUGUGCAGCAUGGAUACGCAAAGGGAUGACAGUGGCGGCAUGGGAUUCAGUCACACUUCCCAGAACGGUGUGCAAUGUGAAGUUUAGACACUAUUUCUGGCAUUUUCCACUUUCAGAUUGCGAUUGGCCACUGGUGACUGAAUCCAUGGACAAUGAAACUGAGGGUGUAGGGGGGGGUGACUAGUGACCACUGACAUCACAGGAGGAAGGGGACUGGGAAGAGAGGCAGAAAGCUGGUUCCCACCUCAUCCAAGUUUCCUACUCAGGACACACAAGGUGCCCCAAUGGCAGAGGUGAUGGCCCCAAGGCAGCAUGCUCAACAUGAGGGUAUUGUCAUGUAUGUCCCCGUGUAUGUCUGCAUCCCAGGACCUGCACGUGCCAGGCAAGAACUCUCCCAGCGACUGGCAUUUAAUUUAGGAACUGACAAACUCGUUCUUGAAAACACUUCAGGCUUUUAGGCGUACAUGGCCACUGACGCACAAAAGUAGCCACUGAAAUGCUUGGGUGACAAACAUGGCCGUAUGCUAAGAAAACCUUAGACAGUCUUCUCAAACACUUAGAAUUUUCAUGAAAUCUUCAUGAUGUGAAGUACCCCUUUUAAGAUUUCUUUAAAUUAUUAAGAAUGAAAAAUAAUUCUUAAUAGAUUGUCCCAAGCUAGCAUAGGGCAGGGUUCUGUCUUAGUGAGCUAAAUGAUUUCUGCCAAGCUUGCCAGAGCAGAAUGUGUUUAAUUUUCCGACAACCUUGCCCUCACCUUUGCUCCCAGGCUACAAUCUGCCCAGCACUGCCUGAGGCCCUGGAUAAACUCUCCAGUCGCUGGAAUCCUGUGGUCAUCCCACAGACAGGAUGGCCAGUGGAUAAAGAUGGAAAACUUUGGCAGAAGCCGGUCCACAGCCUGCUAGCCUUGGCUACUGAAGACUCUAGGCUGUCUGGCCUUUCCUCUUCUCUCCAGCUUCAUCCCUCCAGAUGUGUGGUGUUUCAUCUGAGGCUUACACAGCGGCUAUUUCCUCUUCAUGAAGAGUGGAGCUCUGAUGGCAUUUGGGGCUCAUCAGUACAUUCAGACACCACUGUGGGUGACAGUAGAAAAUGACACAAUUCUGCCUAGUGAGAUCCAGGUUCAAGUUCUGAAGGGGAACACAAAGGCACAGGCUCCCUGGAGAGCAUCUCCCUCCUCCGGCGUUGCCUGUUCUUGUGCCUGCAUGGUGAAUUCAAGGCCUGUAGGCGCUGUGUCUGCCUUGUUAUCAGUGGACAGCUUCGAACAGCACACAGGUAGAGUAGAAAGGAGAACCCUUCUGUGGGGCAGGCUGACCUUCCCUUCCUGCUUUCUGGCUGCAGGACCUCAGGGAUGUUAGCUUAACUCCUCACAGCCUCUCUUUCCUUCCCACAGUCUGUAAAAGGAGGACUGAGAUCUCCACCAUGCACAGCAGUUUUGAGGCUCAAAUGCUGUGAUGGGCAGGAAUCCACCUUUUCUAUUGUGCGCACACCUCAUGCCGUAGUUGUCUUAAAGCAGAAAUAAGUAAUUGUGACUUUAAGGCAAAAUGAAGGCGACCAUUUGUUUCUCCUCAUAGACAUGGCCCUUAUGUCAACCGGCUCAGAUCUGUAGCCCAUCAGCUAUGCAAACAGGAAGCAACUAUCCAAACAUUUGGAGCUGCAAGGGGCUGGCCUGGGUCAGCCUCUCGCGGCUGUGAGUGCCUCAGAAGUCAAGGGUGAGGUGCCUCCUCAGAGGGCAUUAGUUCAAAGCCACCUCUUGGGCUGCCUCCCCGCCUCUGCCCCAGCCUGGCUCAGAUCACCCUCUCUCAGGGGAGAACUGUCCUCACUGGCUCCUCUAGGCCUGUCUCCUGUUCUUUGUCCCUCCUCUCGGCCCCGUCACAGCUGAAACGGGGUCGUUUUUGUUUUGUUUUUGUUUUCUUUCUGAAAUGCAAUCUGCUUGAGCCACCCUGGCUUGAAAUAUUUCCACACUCUCUAAGGAGAAGAUCAAGGUUAUACUCCUUCUAGGCUCCAGAUGCCGGGCCUUUCCCGGGCUUCUCCAGCUAUAUUUCCCCAGCUAUACUGACUUCCAUUUAGUUUCUGGAGUGUGCUAUGGUGGCUCUGAGCUUUGCCCAUACUGUUCCCAUUUUCUCAGCUUUUUGCUCCCACUUCUGGGGCAGGGAACGGGCUAAGCCUGCAGCAGGAACACAGCUGCUCUGUGCUCUAGCAGUCCCUAGACUGCCUCACAUUGUCCCCUGUGGAGGGCUCCUGAUCCCUGAUCUCAGCUCACGACUUGGCUUUUGAUCUGUCCUGCUCAGAGUCACACCCCUCACCAGGUAGGCAGUGGCCCAGGGAAGGUCUCAGAGGCUGUGCAGGUCAGGGAGAGCACCCAGCACAGCCAGGCAGAGUCUCACAGCCUUUCUAUUCUGCAGAGUCCAGUCUGCUCCACCCACGAGCAACAGCCUGGAGGAAAGCUGGUGACUUGCCAAAGUCACACAUCUGUCAGCCGUCUUGCCAGAAUCAGUGCCUUCUCCCGAGUCUAGCUUCCUGCCCUGGUCCAGACAGCACAAAAGGUCACUCUAAAUCUGUUUCCUAUCUGAAGAAUGGGGUCACAACAGGCCCCUCUUCUCUUGGCUGUCCUAGGACUAAGGGCUUUGCUCAGGGCCCCGUACACAGCAUAUAGUCAGUGACAAUCAGGAUCAAAUUGAAGAACUAAGAAUGAGUAUCUCUGAUUGCAAUCUAUGAGUAGCAAGUAAAAGGAUUUCAUGGAUGAAUAGGAGGGUGAACGGAUAGAGAAUGGACCAAUGGACGGUAAUGGAAUCCACUAUGAUGUAAGAAAUGGAAGAAUCUAUGCAUGAAUGUCAGAAGACAGAAAUGGACACGAGAGCGCUUGGCGGAGUUGCACACCUAGGUUUAGAGAACAGCA